GGUGCAUGGUUGUCGUCAGCUCGUGUCGUGAGAUGUUGGUUAAGUCCGCAACGAGCGCAACCCCUAUUCGUUAGUUGCCAUCAUUCAGUUGGGCACUCUAGCGAGACUGCCGGUAAUAAACCGGAGGAAGGUGGGGAGUGACGUCAAUCAUCAUGCCCCUUAUGACCUGGGCUACACACGUGCUACAAUGGUUGGUACAACGAGUUGCGAGUCGGUGACGGCGAGCUAAUCUCUUAAAGCCAAUCUCAGUUCGGAUUGUAGGCUGCAACUCGCCUACAUGAAGUCGGAAUCGCUAGUAAUCGCGGAUCAGCACGCCGCGGUGAAUACGUUCCCGGGCCUU
rnacentral:rRNA from 1 species